rnacentral:rRNA from 1 species
ACGCCUGGUCCAGUAGAGCUCACGGUGCUCUGGGAGAUCAAACUCCCCCUUAAGAUCCGCAUAUUCUUAUGGCAAUGGGUUAGAGGACGCCUCCCCUCGGGCACUGAGGUCCGUAAGCGUAAUGGACCCGGGGAUGGGCUUUGCCCCAUUUGUCUGGUUCCGGAAGACUGCAACCACAUCUUCUUCCGGUGCCCAACGACGCAGUUUUUAUGGAGCUGCUUUCGGGAGGUAGUCGAAGGCUCAUGGUGCCAUGACAACCUCCCGGAUUUGUUCGGGGAGACCCUCCGGCUCCCCGGGUCUAGGCGCGCCCCUAUUUGGGUCGCGCUCGGCACUCUUGCCUGGUCCCUUUGGUGUACCCGCAAUAAAUUAGUCAUCGAACGAGUGAUUCCGUCCCGUGUGACUGAUGUGAUCUACAAAAUGUGUUGCUUCUUGCAGCUUUGGAGACCGCUUAGCAAGCGGAGUGACCAAGUCAUCAUUGACAGCAUCAUGGCGGGUCUUCGUGCCUCGGCGGCGUCAUUCGCUCCUCCGCCUCCAUCUCCA